UGAACGCUGGCGGCACGCCUAACACAUGCAAGUCGAACGAAGUAGCAAUACUUAGUGGCAGACGGGUGAGUAACAUGUAGGUAUCUGCCCUUUGGCCUGGAAUAACACGAGGAAACUUGUGCUAAUACCGGAUAAGUCUUUACGGAGAAAGCUUUAUGCACCAUUGGAUGAGCCUGCACUUGAUUAGUUUGUUGGUGGGGUAAUGGCCUACCAAGACUGUGAUCAAUAGCUGAUUUGAGAGGAUGAUCAGCCACAUUGGGACUGAGACACGGCCCAAACUCCUACGGGAGGCAGCAGUGGGGAAUCUUGCACAAUGGAGGAAACUCUGAUGCAGCGAUGCCGCGUGAGUGAAGAAGGCCCUUGGGUUGUAAAGCUCUUUCGUCGGGGAAGAAAAUGACUGUACCCGAAUAAGAAGGUCCGGCUAACUUCGUGCCAGCAGCCGCGGUAAUACGAAGGGACCUAGCGUAGUUCGGAAUUACUGGGCUUAAAGAGUUCGUAGGUGGUUGAAAAAGUUAGUGGUGAAAUCCCAGAGCUUAACUCUGGAACUGCCAUUAAAACUUUUCAGCUAGAGUAUGAUAGAGGAAAGCAGAAUUUCUAGUGUAGAGGUGAAAUUCGUAGAUAUUAGAAAGAAUACCAAUUGCGAAGGCAGCUUUCUGGAUCAUUACUGACACUGAGGAACGAAAGCAUGGGUAGCGAAGAGGAUUAGAUACCCUCGUAGUCCAUGCCGUAAACGAUGUGUGUUAGACGUUGGAAAUUUAUUUUCAGUGUCGCAGCGAAAGCGAUAAACACACCGCCUGGGGAGUACGACCGCAAGGUUAAAACUCAAAUGAAUUGACGGGGACCCGCACAAGUAGUGGAGCAUGUGGUUUAAUUCGAAGAUACGCGCAGAACCUUACCAACACUUGACAUGUUCGUCGCGACUCUAAGAGAUUAGAGUUUUCGGUUCGGCCGGACGAAACACAGGUGCUGCAUGGCUGUCGUCAGCUCGUGUCGUGAGAUGUUGGGUUAAGUCCCGCAACGAGCGCAACCCUCACUUUUAGUUGCCAUCAUUAAGUUGGGCACUCUGAAAGAACUGCCAGUGAUAAGCUGGAGGAAGGUGGGGAUGACGUCAAGUCCUCAUGGCCCUUACGUGUUGGGCUACACACGUGCUACAAUGGUAUCUACAACAGGAAGCAAGACUGCGAAGUUAAGCAAAUCCCUAAAAGAUACCUCAGUUCGGAUUGCACUCUGCAACUCGAGUGCAUGAAGCUGGAAUUACUAGUAAUCGUGGAUCAGCGUGCCACGGUGAAUGCGUUCCCGGGUCUUGUACACACCGC
rnacentral:rRNA from 1 species